rnacentral:rRNA from 1 species
GCCUUUUUUCAACUUUUGACCUCGGAUCAGGUAGGGAUACCCGCUGAACUUAAGCUAU